rnacentral:rRNA from 1 species
ACUAAAUAGAUACCCGGGUAGUCCACGCUGUAAACGAUGAGUGCUAGAUGCCGGAUUUUUCGGUGUCGCAGCUAAACGCAUUAAGCACUCCACCUGGGAAGUACGAUCGCAAGGUUGAAACUCAAAGGAAUUGACGGGGGCCCGCACAAGCAGUGGAGCAUGUGGUUUAAUUCGAUGCAACGCGAAGGACCUUACCUAGGCUUGAAAAGCUUAUGACCGGCUGUGAAAGCAGCUUUCCCGCAAGGGCAUAAGUACAGGUGCUGCAUGGCUGUCGUCAGCUCGUGCCGUGAGGUGUUGGGUUAAGUCCCGCAACGAGCGCAACCCUUACCAUUAGUUGCCACCGGAGCAAUCCGAGCACUCUAAUGGAACUGCCUACGCAAGUAGUGAGGAAGGUGAGGAUGACGUCAAGUCCGCAUGGCCCUUACGCCUAGGGCUACACACGUGCUACAAUGGCCGCCACAACGGGCAGCAAAAUCGCGAGAUGGAGCGAAUCCCUAAAAAGCGG